rnacentral:rRNA from 1 species
UUUAUGGAGAGUUUGAUCCUGGCUCAGAGUGAACGCUGGCGGCGUGCCUAAUACAUGCAAGUCGAACGAUGAAGCUUCUAGCUUGCUAGAAGUGGAUUAGUGGCGCACGGGUGAGUAACGCAUAGGUUAUGUGCCUCUUAGUUUGGGAUAGCCAUUGGAAACGAUGAUUAAUACCAGAUACUCCCUACGGGGGAAAGAUUUAUCGCUAAGAGAUCAGCCUAUGUCCUAUCAGCUUGUUGGUAAGGUAAUGGCUUACCAAGGCUAUGACGGGUAUCCGGCCUGAGAGGGUGAACGGACACACUGGAACUGAGACACGGUCCAGACUCCUACGGGAGGCAGCAGUAGGGAAUAUUGCUCAAUGGGGGAAACCCUGAAGCAGCAACGCCGCGUGGAGGAUGAAGGUUUUAGGAUUGUAAACUCCUUUUGUUAGAGAAGAUAAUGACGGUAUCUAACGAAUAAGCACCGGCUAACUCCGUGCCAGCAGCCGCGGUAAUACGGAGGGUGCAAGCGUUACUCGGAAUCACUGGGCGUAAAGAGCGCGUAGGCGGGAUAGUCAGUCAGGUGUGAAAUCCUAUGGCUUAACCAUAGAACUGCAUUUGAAACUACUAUUCUAGAGUGUGGGAGAGGUAGGUGGAAUUCUUGGUGUAGGGGUAAAAUCCGUAGAGAUCAAGAGGAAUACUCAUUGCGAAGGCGACCUGCUGGAACAUUACUGACGCUGAUUGCGCGAAAGCGUGGGGAGCAAACAGGAUUAGAUACCCUGGUAGUCCACGCCCUAAACGAUGGAUGCUAGUUGUUGGAGGGCUUAGUCUCUCCAGUAAUGCAGCUAACGCAUUAAGCAUCCCGCCUGGGGAGUACGGUCGCAAGAUUAAAACUCAAAGGAAUAGACGGGGACCCGCACAAGCGGUGGAGCAUGUGGUUUAAUUCGAAGAUACACGAAGAACCUUACCUAGGCUUGACAUUGAGAGAAUCCGCUAGAAAUAGUGGAGUGUCUAGCUUGCUAGACCUUGAAAACAGGUGCUGCACGGCUGUCGUCAGCUCGUGUCGUGAGAUGUUGGGUUAAGUCCCGCAACGAGCGCAACCCCCUUUCUUAGUUGCUAACAGGUCAUGCUGAGAACUCUAAGGAUACUGCCUCCGUAAGGAGGAGGAAGGUGGGGACGACGUCAAGUCAUCAUGGCCCUUACGCCUAGGGCUACACACGUGCUACAAUGGGGUGCACAAAGAGAAGCAAUACUGCGAAGUGGAGCCAAUCUUCAAAACGCCUCUCAGUUCGGAUUGUAGGCUGCAACUCGCCUGCAUGAAGCUGGAAUCGCUAGUAAUCGCAAAUCAGCCAUGUUGCGGUGAAUACGUUCCCGGGUCUUGUACUCACCGCCCGUCACACCAUGGGAGUUGUGUUUGCCUUAAGUCAGGAUGCUAAAUUAGCUACUGCCCACGGCACACACAGCGACUGGGGUGAAGUCGUAACAAGGUAACCGUAGGUGAACCUGCGGUUGGAUCACCUCCUUUCUAGA